CGGAGGGAGGGAGCGGAACAGCGGAGGGAGGGAGCGGAACAGCUAACGACUUUCAGACUUUUUUUGCCUUUUUUUGGUUUUCCUAAUGAUGAUGAGGGUGGCUGACGAGAAAUGGUUUUGAAAACCGAUCUUGAAAAGCACAGUAGAUGAAUGGUUUGAUUUGAAAAUAAUGCUUUGUAUUAUAAUUAGACAAAUUUAGUCCAAAGGGUUAUAGUGUAUUAAAUUAAGUUGUAUUUUUCUGUAUAGAUUUUUUUUUGGUAAGUUAUUUUCGAUUUAUUAUCGCAGCAAACAAGAUGAUUAUUUGUAAAAAAAAGUGGUGGAAAAACUGCGUAAAAAUGGACCUUCUGUCAUAUUCUAUCAAUUUGAAAUAUUAUGGAUUUAACUUUUGGUCCCCGUAGUUUCAUCAGAACUUAAUGAAAUUAUAUCAUGCGGUUCAAGAAAACCAAAUACAGACAGAUUGUACAUACAAGUUAACAACAGAGUUUCCUUUCCUAUUUAUUGUGUGUUUUCUCCCUGUCUGGUCUGGACUACCAUCCGCUAUAAGUUUGUUUGAGAAGAGGAGAGUCAGACCGGUAUGAUACAGGAGUGGGUGGGUUUAUCUCUGUCCGGGCUCUAGUGGGUGGGUGUAGGCCGAGGGCGGGCUGUAUAUACAGUGUACAGAUUAUCGCUUGCAUCUCAGCCUUGAGCGUAUAGCUAGCACCAUGAUAGAAAGACGGGACAAAACUCAACAACAGCCAUACAGUUAUAUAACUCAACAAAACUAUCAAAUGGAACAAGUGUGCUUUCGAUGUUGAUUGGAGUCUUGGUGCUUCAUACAAGCUGCUAGGUACAAACCGCUCUGGUCUGUCAGUGUGAUGUAAGUAAACAAGCAAUAACGAGUACUAAGAAUCUAUUUUUUUUUCCUGGACAUGUUAUGCUCCGUCAGACUCAGUAUUAAAAAAACAGCUACUUUUUCUUUUACUGGUUUGUAUUGAAAAAAACUCUAAUCCAGAUUAAACGUUCCUCUCAGAUUAUGCAGCGGCGCUGUCAUGGGUUUAGAGACGGCAGGGAGGGAGUGUGGUGCUGAACCCUGGAUAUUAACCCUCAUAUUAACAGAUAGGAUGCAUCAUAAAAUGGCACACUAUUCCCUACAUAGUGCACUACUUUUGACCAGAGCCCUAUGGCAUCAUAUUCCCCCCGCCCCAACAGUAACUGGUAUGUUGUCCAGUCUCUCUGGAUCCUGUGUGCCUUUUGGGAUGCAGCCAUUCCCUCUCUGACCACGGGGAUCUGGUCAGAAGUGGUGUUCUAUAUAGGUAAUACUGGAUGGAGUCCACAGAAUCAACUAUGUGGUUCAGAUGGCUGGAGGUUGGAGCACGGUGCUAGGAGCACUAGGAGCACGGUGCUAGGAGCGCUAGGAGCACGGUGCUAGGAGCGCUAGGAGCACGGUGCUAGGAGCGCUAGGAGCACGGUGCUAGGAGCGCUAGGAGCACGGUGCUAGGAGCGCUAGGAGCACGGUGCUAGGAGCGCUAGGAGCACGGUGCUAGGAGCGCUAGGAGCACGGUGCUAGGAGCGCUAGGAGCACGGUGCUAGGAGCGCUAGGAGCACGGUGCUAGGAGCGCUAGGAGCACUAGGAGCACGGUGCUAGGAGCGCUAGGAGCGCUAGGAGCACGGUGCUAGGAGCACUAGGAGCACGGUGCUAGGAGCACGGUGCUAGGGGUGCUAGGAGCGCUAGGAGCACGGUGCUAGGAGCGCUAGGAGCACGGUGCUAGGAGCGCUAGGAGCACGGUGCUAGGAGCGCUAGGAGCACGGUGCUAGGAGCAGAGAAAGGGAAAGGAAGAAUGCAUGUUAAAGUAUUGUAUCAGGAGCUUGCUCUGCCACCCUGCCCUGACAGACAGACAGUGAAUUAGCCAUAGUGUUUGAACUUUGACCUCAGGCAGUAAAACUAUAAUAAACAGAUCCAUUUACAAUGACAUCAUAUUCCCUCGCCCCUGUAACGGGUAUAAUGAUGUCAUAUUCCCUCGCCCCUGUAACGGGUAUAAUGAUGUCAUAUUCCCUCGCCCCUGUAACGGGUAUAAUGAUGUCAUAUUCCCUCGCCCCUGUAACGGGUAUAAUGAUGUCAUAUUCCCUCGCCCCUGUAACGGUUAUAAUGAUGUCAUAUUCCCUCGCCUCUGUAACGGUUAUAAUGACAUCAUAUUCCCUCGCCCCUGUAACGGGUAUAAUGAUGUCAUAUUCCCUCGCCCCUGUAACGGUUAUAAUGACAUCAUAUUCCCUCGCCCCUGUAACGGUUAUAAUGACAUCAUAUUCCCUCGCCCCUGUAACGGUUAUAAUGACGUCAUAUUCCCUCGUCCCCUGUAAUGGGGGAUGGUGACAUCAUAUUCCCUCGUCCCCUGUAAUGGGGGAUGGUGACAUCAUAUUCCCUCGUCCCCUGUAAUGGGGGAUGGUGACAUCAUAUUCCCUCGUCCCUUUAACUGGUAUAGUGGUUUUAGCGCCAUUGUUGCAUCAAAGUCACAUUCCGAUCUCAAAACGACAUCCUCUAAUCCUGAAAUGUUGUAGCCUGGUCUCGUAUAUUUGUGUUCUUGUUCCGCUGCUGCCAAUGGCAACUCAGUGUUGUCAUGACAAUUAGUGACAAGGAGUUGGCAUGAUGGCACAAACAGACGGGCGCUCAUGCUAGCAACGUUGCUAUUUCUAACGAUGUUAAGCUAGACAUUACCAUGGACAACAAGCCAAAUAUCCCAUGCCUUGUAAAUUGGGUUAUGAAUUCUACCAGCCUUUCAUUACAAAAUGAAGGACAGAGGCGGACUUACUUAUGUUUCAUCAGUGAAACAGGCCCUCAAACUGUUAAAUCUGCUUCGGAUAAAGAGCCUAUUAGCAGCCCAGACAGUGUGAUAGUCCAUCACCCUCAGAGAAACAUGCAACGCCCUCUUCGCUGUGUGUGUGUGUGUGUGUGUGUGUGUGUGUGUGUGUGUGUGUGUGUGUGUGUGUGUGUGUGUGUGUGUGUGUGUGUGUGUGUGUACAGCAUAAUACAUGUAUUUGAUGAGGGUCUGAGAUAAAUUGAAUGUAUUGUCAUGGCUGACCUCAGAUCAGAAGAGGCUGUAAAAGUGCUGGGCUGCACCUCAGCUGAUAUCCUAAUUCCUUAUAUAGAGCCCUAUGGGCCUUGGUCAAAAGUUGUCCUCUAUUUAUGUAAUGAAGCCCCUUUGGAAUGCAACCCACCACUUGGAGAAGCUGUAAAAGACUGUUCUCACUGGAUUGUUAGGUCUACAACUGCCCCAAACCUGAUGGAUUAAGUUACACAUAAGCCCAGGUCUGAGAACAGUUUUUAUGUGUACUUCCCUAAUGGUAACUGCUAGGAUUGGCAUGGAGAAAGCUGAUCAAAGGUCAGUUUCGUCUUUACAUUAUAAUGAAUGGACAAAGGACGGGGGGACCUGAUGAUAGAUCAGUAUUUCUACGCUGAAAACAUUUCGGGAAUACUGUACUUUGUCCUAGCAGUCCCUUUUUGGACACUGAGGUACAAUAAAUAGCACUUUGGAGCAUAGGGCUGCUAACGUUUAGUGAUUCCAUAUGUUAAUCUGUAAUUCUAUGGUAUGGGGCUCUGUCUCUCAGAGGAGGGUGCGCAUUCACAUUGUUUUGGUGUACGAUUUAUCACAAUUUAUCGAUCACACUUUUGAUGAAAGCUGGAUGUCAAAACAAAUCACUACCCUCGCCCCUUUGCAAAUUUCCAAAGAUUUGUUAAGAUUUUAAAAUGAAUACAAGCCAUGAGGUAAUGCAUUUUUUUUGAAAGAAUUUGUAUCAGUACUUGGAGCAAACAAACUAUUUGCCACA
rnacentral:lncRNA from 1 species